rnacentral:lncRNA from 7 species
UCAGGUUUAUCAGUGGUGAAAGUGGCUUUCUAGGUGCUUCCCAUCUCCUUGCAGUCUGUGUGGUAGAGCUCAAUUGGAGCUGCCCAGGCUGUUGUGGAAUCCAUAGGCACCGAGACAAGGCGGAGCCCUCAUGGCUCAGGCACGUUAUUUUCUAUAAUUAAGUCACAAUGGACUUUUGAAGAGCUCUGCUGAAUGAUUGAGAGCCUGUGCACAGCUGGACCUACUAACAAACUCUGUGCUAGUCCAAGACAGCCUGAGAAUUAAAAUGAAGCCUGACAGCUUGAUUAAAAUUUCACCUCAUAUAUUUCUGUUUCAAAGGAGGAUUCCUUUGUCUUGAAUAAACGGGUCAUGUGUAAAGAAUGAAAUCACAGGUCUGUUCCAGUCAUGAUGCCAUCCUCAUCUUCCCCACUGGGCACCACUGUAAAGGACCAACACACCCUUUGUUGCACAGGGUUCAGGAAAGCCUGACAGAAACUCAUGCUGUGCUGAUCUUGAUCCCUGGCUAGCUUUUCCUCCUGAUAUAAACAUUGCUAAAGCCAGCUAAGGUACAGGUGAAAUAGGACUGUUUCCAUCAGUGUAUAUGUAUAUCUGCUUGCAGAAUGCAACACAUCAAUAGUCAAAGGUAGGAAAAAAAAUCGAAUAAUAAGGAUGUCAAGAGAAGGACAUAAUACAGGAUAACACAGAAGAGAUUUAAACAUGGGGAAGAUUUAAUAUCUGAAGAAGUGCGGCAGGGAAACUAAAAGCCCUUGGAUCCCCAAGCCAAAGCUCACACCACCUUAAGCAGAGUUUUUGUAGAUUAACAUCAUUUAAAUGGUCAGAAUUUAGUUUCGAUUGAUUAAUCUUUUUCUCCUGGGAGACAAAUUCUGUCCGUAAUUACAACCUGUCUAAAUCUUUUUCAUUUCAGUUAUGUAGUAGUACUGGUGAAGAUACAUUGACAUAAUACACAGGCAAUGCUGCAUACUUCAAAUAUAAUGCAAUUAAUAUUAGUGCCCAACCUCUGUGAUGUCAGCAUUUCUAAAAAUCCAGACUGGGAGUUCACAACAGUUGAGAUAAGUGCAAAUGUAAUUUACCUCUGCUGAUAUGUCCCCUAUAUAUUGUUGAAUAAAAAAAACUCUGUAGUGUAAAAUUGUGAUCAGACAUUAUAAGUUUUAAUGAUAAUUUAUUGCAACAGUUUUUCAAGGAUUCCUUUGUAAUGAGAAAUCUUUGAGAACCCAAACGCAACAGUUUGGAGGAUAAAAGCAUACUGUAUGAAUUUUUUGGUUUUGAAAAAUCCUGAAAUGCUGCUGCAUGCAGUCACUCUAAAAACACUUUGGAGACCUUCCUUUUUCUUUAAUGAAUAAAGCAUUU